UUCAGCCUUCUGAAAAUGUCUAGUGAAGCGUGGCACGUAGGUAAGGCUGUCAAUGGUUUGGUUUGUCUACGUUUUGUUUUUUUCAGUUAUGUGGGUUCCUGCCAUAAAUGUCUUGUGAUCACUCACAUUUCCUCUGGAAGUCCAAACAAUGCAGUAACGUGUUAUUUUGUGUCAACACAUAAUAUAUUACCAAUUCUUUCUA